rnacentral:rRNA from 1 species
UACGAAGGGGGCUAGCGUUGUUCGGAUUUACUGGGCGUAAAGGGCGCGUAGGCGGUCGUGACAAGUCACUUGUGAAAUCUCCGGGCUUAACUCGGAACGGUCAAGUGAUACUGUCGGACUAGAGUACAGAAGGGGCAACUGGAAUUCUCGGUGUAGCGGUGAAAUGCGCAGAUAUCAGGAGGAACACCGAUGGCGAAGGCAGGUCUCUGGGCAUUAACUGACGCUGAGGAGCGAAAGCAUGGGGAGCGAACAGG